UGAGGAAUAUUGGUCAAUGGUCGCUAGACUGAACCAGCCAAGUAGCGUGCGGGAUGAAGGCCCCCCGGGCUCGGUAAACCCGCAUUUUACGACGGGUUAUAAAAGGGCGGUAAGCGUGUACGCCGUAUUGCAUGUACCGUCAGAAAAAGGACCGGCUAAUUCCGUGCCAGCAGCCGCGGUAAUACGGAAGGUCCGGGCGUUAUCCGGAUUUAUUGGGUUUAAAGGGAGCGUAGGCGGACUUUCAAGUCAGUGGUAAAAUCGUGUGGCUCAACCAUACCUCGCCAUUGAAACUGGAAGUCUGGAGUGCACACAGGGGUGCCGGAAUUCAUGGUGUAGCGGUGAAAUGCUUAGAUAUCAUGAAGAACUCCGAUCGCGAAGGCAAGUGCCCGGGGUGCAACUGACGCUGAGGCUCGAAGGUGCGGGUAUCGAACAGGAUUAGAUACC
rnacentral:rRNA from 1 species